rnacentral:rRNA from 1 species
UACAGAGGGGGCAAGCGUUGUUCGGAAUUACUGGGCGUAAAGGGCGCGUAGGCGGCCUUCUAAGUCGAACGUGAAAUCCCCGGGCUCAACCCGGGAACUGCGUCCGAUACUGGAAGGCUUGAAUCCGGGAGAGGGAUGCGGAAUUCCAGGUGUAGCGGUGAAAUGCGCAGAUAUCAGGAGGAACACCGGUGGCGAAGGCGGAUCUCUGGGCCAUUACUGACGCUGAGGAGCGAAAGCAUGGGGAGCGAACAGG